AUUGAACGCUGGCGGCAGGCCUAACACAUGCAAGUCGAACGAGUGGCGGACGGGCGCGUAAUGUCUGGGAAACUGCACGAUGGAGGGGGAUAACUAAUGGAAACGGUAGCUAAUACUGCAUACCAUCGGAUCUGCCCUUAGGGGAGUAGCUAGUCGGUGGGGUAAAGGAACAUCUAGACGACGCUCCCUAGCUGGUCUGAGAGGAUGACCAGCCACAAGGGAACUGAGCCACGGUCCAGACUCCUACGGGAGGCAGCAGUGGGGAAUAUUGGACAAUGGGGGCAACCCUGACGCAGCCAUGCCGCGUGAAUGAAGAAGGCCUUCGGGUUGUAAAGUUCUUUCGGUAGCGAGGCGUUAACUACAGAAGAAGCACCGGCUAACUCCGUGCCAGCAGCCGCGGUAAUAC
rnacentral:rRNA from 1 species